rnacentral:rRNA from 1 species
UGGCGGACGGGUGAGAAAUACAUCGGAACGUGCCUAGUAGUGGGGGAUAACUACUCGAAAGAGUGGCUAAUACCGCAUGAGAUCUAUGGAUGAAAGCAGGGGACCUUCGGGCCUUGUGCUACUAGAGCGGCCGAUGGCAGAUUAGGUAGUUGGUGGGAUAAAAGCUUACCAAGCCUACGAUCUGUAGCUGGUCUGAGAGGACGAUCAGCCACACUGGGACUGAGACACGGCCCAGACUCCUACGGGAGGCAGCAGUAGGGAAUUUUCCACAAUGGGGGCAACCCUGAUGGAGCAACGCCGCGUGCAGGAUGAAUGCCUUCGGGUUGUAAACUGCUUUUAUAUGUGACGAAUAUGACGGUAGCAUAUGAAUAAGGAUCGGCUAACUCCGUGCCAGCAGCCGCGGUAAUA